UAGAGUUUGAUCCUGGCUCAGGAUGAACGCUAGCUACAGGCUUAACACAUGCAAGUCGAGGGGCAGCAUUGUCGAAGCUUGCUUUGACAGAUGGCGACCGGCGCACGGGUGAGUAACGCGUAUCCAACCUUCCCCAUAGUAGGGCAUAGCCCGUAGAAAUGCGGAUUAAUACCCUAUGUAUUCCGAGGAUGACAUCUGAUUCGGAACAAAGGUUCACCGCUAUGGGAUGGGGAUGCGUCUGAUUAGGUAGUAGGCGGGGUAACGGCCCACCUAGCCGACGAUCAGUAGGGGUUCUGAGAGGAAGGUCCCCCACAUUGGAACUGAGACACGGUCCAAACUCCUACGGGAGGCAGCAGUGAGGAAUAUUGGUCAAUGGGCGAGAGCCUGAACCAGCCAAGUAGCGUGCAGGAUGACGGCCCUAUGGGUUGUAAACUGCUUUUAUACAGGGAUAAAGUCGGGGACGUGUUCCCCGUUUGCAGGUACUGUAUGAAUAAGGACCGGCUAAUUCCGUGCCAGCAGCCGCGGUAAUACGGAAGGUCCGGGCGUUAUCCGGAUUUAUUGGGUUUAAAGGGAGCGCAGGCUGGGUUUUAAGCGUGCCGUGAAAUGUACCGGCUCAACCGGUGAGUUGCGGCGCGAACUGGAGCCCUUGAGUGCGUACGAGGAUGGCGGAAUUCGUGGUGUAGCGGUGAAAUGCUUAGAUAUCACGAAGAACUCCGAUUGCGAAGGCAGCCAACAAGGCCUUUACUGACGCUAAAGCUCGAAGGUGCGGGUAUCGAACAGGAUUAGAUACCCUGGUAGUCCGCACGGUAAACGAUGGAUGCCCGCUGUUUGCGAUAUACUGUCAGCGGCCAAGCGAAAGCGUUAAGCAUCCCACCUGGGGAGUACGCCGGCAACGGUGAAACUCAAAGGAAUUGACGGGGGCCCGCACAAGCGGAGGAACAUGUGGUUUAAUUCGAUGAUACGCGAGGAACCUUACCCGGGCUUGAACUGCAGCUGAACGAUCCAGAGAUGGUGAGGCCCUUCGGGGCAGCUGUGGAGGUGCUGCAUGGUUGUCGUCAGCUCGUGCCGUGAGGUGUCGGCUUAAGUGCCAUAACGAGCGCAACCCUUUUCAUUAGUUGCCAUCAGGUUAUGCUGGGCACUCUGGUGAUACUGCCACCGUAAGGUGUGAGGAAGGUGGGGAUGACGUCAAAUCAGCACGGCCCUUACGUCCGGGGCUACACACGUGUUACAAUGGGUGGUACAGAGAGUUGGUCGUUUGCAAAUGCGAUCCAAUCCUUAAAGCCAUCCUCAGUUCGGAUUGGGGUCUGCAACCCGACCCCAUGAAGCUGGAUUCGCUAGUAAUCGCGCAUCAGCCAUGGCGCGGUGAAUACGUUCCCGGGCCUUGUACACACCGCCCGUCAAGCCAUGAAAGCCGGGGGCGCCUGAAGUCCGUGACCGCGAGGGUCGGCCUAGGGUGAAACCGGUGAUUGGGGCUAAGUCGUAACAAGGUAACCGUA
rnacentral:rRNA from 1 species